ensembl:lncRNA
AUUUCAGAUUUGCCUAAGAUGUACGUAGGCUCCCUGUUUUUUAGUCCACACAAACUUUCCUAGACUGAAGGCUGCAUUAUCAGUCAUGGCUUUCUCAAAGCAAGUGCUUGUUUAUUGUUGGAUAUCAGUUUUUUUGAUGCCGCUUACAACUUGUAAGGAUGAAUCAGAAGAAAGUGGACAUGAGACAGAAGAUUACGGCAGGAGAAUUCUGGAAAUUCAUGAGGGAAUAGCGUAUGAGUUUAUUCAGGAAUCCAUGCCAUGGGCUGAAGCCCAUGAGAGCUGUGAAAAACAAGGGGGGCAUCUUCUGAGGGACCUGAAUGCUGAGAUUAAGGAGCUCGUACAAACCCAGUCCACAGAAACUGGACCGUGGUGGGUCAGUCGGGAGUUGAUGUAUAAAAAGUCCAUCAGACGAUUGGGAACUGUCUCGUAUGGCAAUGUCAGUAAAGAUCACUUAGCUUGCACCUAUAUGGUCAAAGAUCCAUUUCAGCUGGUGACCACACCCCACUGCAGCAUGAGCUUUAGCUCCCUCUGCACGCGAGAUUUAAAUACACAUCUGACUUCAACUGAACCAAACAAAAGGAGCCGCAGAAGUCUUACUGACACACUGGAGUCACUAGGAAUCAAUAUAGGAUAUACUGCUCAGCUUGUGGAGGUUGGUGAGCUUUUUCAGUAAAAGAAUAGAGUCCUAUGUUUUAUUUCCGUAAAGUGGCCUCUUCAGAACUGUUUUAUGAAAGCAGGCCUCAGAAAAUAAAGGGGAAAAGGAAAGGUAGAGUUUGGGAUGA